GUGUCACUCGAUAACACAUACAUUCACUUUCCACUCUUUUAUGAUAUUUUUAAUCGUUUGCAUGCAUGCUGUUUGCAGAGUUAAUGCACACGUUCUUUGUGUCCGCGAAAGCUAAUAAGGUGGAAGUGAUAUGCGAGCAUCAUAUUUUAUUAAACGUUGCGGAACCUUAUAACACAACUGUGGCAAAUUUACCCUGUGCUUCAACUUCGCGUGCUACUGCAAAUUGUGGCGUUCCGUUGCUGAAACUAUGCUGAAAAAAAAAAAAAAAAAUCUAGCGCGGCGCGUCCUUCGAGUACGGCCUUUAAUGUUCUCGCUUGUCCACAUACAAGCGAAACGAGUUGCAAGCACGCUGUGCGCAGGCUGAGGUGCACUGGAAAAGCUUUGUUUCAACAAAUUUAAUUUAUAGCAAAUAAGGAGACAUAAUAUAUAUAAUAAUAUGACUGGUGCGACCGGGAUACAGCAGACGAAAGGUGCCCUGAACGUCUUCACCUAUGACGCCACGUCCGCGUCACCCAUGUCUCAUAUCCGCCCAUUUGCAUGGCGUCUGUCUUUCGGGACCGGUUGCGCUGCGAAGCGGUCCGUAUUCUGUACCCACUUACAGCAGACAACAUCUGACAUCUUGCUUUGACUUCCUGGUACAGGAUACUUGCACUUAGCAUGGAGUGAUGAAGCAGAGCGGCAUACUUUUACUAAAUAGGCAGAUUUUAGCAGUAUAACAGCAGUUCAUAAAAAAAAUGUGUGCUGAAAAUAAAGUGUUCCUACCCA